CCAAGACGAGGUGGUACAAGGCCACCAUGCGCUGACGGUGCUCCGGCUGCAUUGUGGAGAGCACGACUGCGCCGAGGGACUCCAGCGGGGAGACCCUGGGGGAAGGGCCGUCGGAGAGCUCCUCCCACUCCGAGUCCGACUCGGUGCGCUCUAUCGAGCUGAACUCGCUCUGGCUCUGACAGGAGCACGACUCCUCCUCUUGGUCCUCCUCGGUGGGCAUCGAGUAGUCGCCCUCGUAGCGGCAGUCGGAGUACUCUUCGUAGAGGUCGUCGUAGUAGUCUCCGCGGCUGUCCGGAGAAGCGCCGCCUGUCCAGAGGGAGCUCAACACGGGCGGUGGUCCCAUCGAAGCCAUCUGUGGCACAGCAUUGAAUCCAUCUGAAUCCCCCAUCGGAGGGAAGGUGGGGGGGUGAGCGUGACCUAUUGGACCCAUUGGGCGGGACAGCAGAGGACUGGUGUGGAUUUGGCCUAGGAAGGGCAUCGCAUUGAGUCCAUUCCUGUCGGCGGAACCUUCGGGGGGGACCUGCAGCCCCGGCUGCUGCUGCUGCUGCUGGUCGGUAAAGACGAAGGAUCCCAUGGAUCCGAAAAUACCCCGCGAGCGGGUGAAUGGGGAACGUGGAUUGUUAAUAGUUGGAUUCAUCUUAUUCCACCACUUUAUGUUCCCUGUGCUUUCGAUAUUUGCUGCCGUUCUCUGUGUUGUGCCGCUCUCUCCAGAUAUUCGUACUGAAGAAUAUUCAUGCCGUGGACUAUGAGCCGAUCUCGCAUUGGAUUUACUGGAUCGAAGGCAGAAGUCACAGGAUCAAGCGUUCGCUGGCAAAUGGCCUAAAGGUCAGCUUGUUGGCUAACUCUGGACAUUGCCAUCGAGGGCUCUGGUCUGCGGUGGUACCACCAACUGUGACAAUGUCCACGAUGAGGUCGACUGCUGCAAGCGGCCAGAAAAGUUUUAGUGUCCCAUCAACAAGUCCAAAGAAACAUCAGAAAUGUCGGAGGAGGACUGCUCGGGCGGAUCCUCGUUCAUGUGCUGGAUGACGACCACAUUGCAUGAAUCUCCGGCUGGAGUACUGGGGCCGUGCCAGGCGGAUAUAGCGGUUGAGGUCGCCCACCUUGUGGGUCAGAUUGAAGCGGAUUGCCAUCGGAGAGACGCAGCUGGACCGUCGUCAUGGCCGACUUCUCGUUAAGGCUCAGUCUGCCUUUGGUAUGCUGCUCCGGCAAGACCCGCACAGAGCCAAAGGAUGACCAGGCUUCGGAUCCGCUUGCCCUCAACUCUCAGCAAGUCGGAGCGCGUGUCCAAUAUCUCCUCCAAGGCGUCUACGGUGUCUCAUAAUUUUUAGAACUCUACUCGAACUCUUGUCCUUACAAAAUUUCUUUAAUUAAAAGACUACUGAUACAUAGUUGGACAUUA